rnacentral:hammerhead_ribozyme from 1 species
CGACUGCUGAGGAGUUCCACAAUAGGACGAAACGGCUGUCCAGUGU